rnacentral:rRNA from 1 species
GGCCAGACUCCUACGGGAGGCAGCAGUGGGGGAUAUUGCACAAUGGGGGGAACCCUGAUGCAGCGACGCCGCGUGGGUGAAGAAGCGCCUCGGCGCGUAAAGCCCUGUCAGCAGGGAAGAAAAUGACGGUACCUGAAGAAGAAGCCCCGGCUAACUACGUGCCAGCAGCCGCGGUAAUACGUAGGGGGCAAGCGUUAUCCGGAUUUACUGGGUGUAAAGGGAGCGUAGACGGCGCUGCAAGUCCGGAGUGAAAGUCCAUGGCUUAACCAUGGUACUGCUCUGGAAACUGUGGAGCUUGAGUGCGGGAGGGGCAGGCGGAAUUCCUAGUGUAGCGGUGAAAUGCGUAGAUAUUAGGAGGAACACCGGCGGCGAAGGCGGCCUGCUGGACCGUAACUGACGUUGAGGCUCGAAAGCGUGGGGAGCAAACAGGAUUAGAUACCCGCGUAUGU